rnacentral:rRNA from 1 species
UACGUAGGGGGCGAGCGUUGUCCGGAUUUACUGGGCGUAAAGAGCGCGCAGGCGGCUGGUCAAGUCCGAUGUGAAAGCUCCCGGCUUAACUGGGAAAUUGCAUCGGAAACUGAUCGGCUGGAAGGUGGGAGAGGGUAGCGGAAUUCCCGGUGUAGUGGUGAAAUGCGUAGAUAUCGGGAGGAACACCAGUGGCGAAGGCGACUUCCUGGCCUGUUCUUGACGCUGAGGCGCGAAAGCUAGGGUAGCAAACGGG